rnacentral:rRNA from 1 species
GAUGAACGCUAGCGACAGGCUUAACACAUGCAAGUCGAGGGGAAACGGCAUUAAGUGCUUGCACUCUUUGGACGCCGACCGGCGCACGGGAGAGUAACGCGUAUCCAACCUUCCCAGGACUAAGGGAUAACCUGCCGAAAGGCAGACUAAUACCUUAUGGUCUUCACUGACGGCAUCAGAUGUGAAGUAAAGAUUUAUCGGUUAUGGAUGGGGAUGCGUCUGAUUAGCUUGUUGGCGGGGUAACGGCCCACCAAGGCAACGAUCAGUAGGGGCUCUGAGAGGUAGGUCCCCCACAUUGGAACUGGGCCACGGUCCAAACGCGUACGGGCGGCAGCACUGAGGGAUAUUAGUCGAUGGGCGAGUGCCUGAACCAGCCAAGUAGCGUGCAGGAUGCCGGCCGUGUGGGUUGUAAACUGCUUUUGUAUGGGGCUAAUGUCAAUCACGUGUGAUUGUUUGCAGGUACCAGACGAAUAAGGACCGGCUUAUUCCCUU